AGUGAACGCUGGCGGUAGGCCUAACACAUGCAAGUCGAACGGCAGCACAGUAAGAGCUUGCUCUUCCGGGUGGCGAGUGGCGGACGGGUGAGGAAUACAUCGGAAUCUACUUUUUCGUGGGGGAUAACGUAGGGAAACUUACGCUAAUACCGCAUACGACCUACGGGUGAAAGCAGGGGAUCUUCGGACCUUGCGCGAUUGAAUGAGCCGAUGUCGGAUUAGCUAGUUGGCGGGGUAAAGGCCCACCAAGGCGACGAUCCGUAGCUGGUCUGAGAGGAUGAUCAGCCACACUGGAACUGAGACACGGUCCAGACUCCUACGGGAGGCAGCAGUGGGGAAUAUUGGACAAAGGGCGCAAGCCUGAUCCAGCCAUACCGCGUGGGUGAAGAAGGCCUUCGGGUUGUAAAGCCCUUUUGUUGGGAAAGAAAAGCAGCAGGUUAAUACCCCGCUGUUCUGACGGUACCCAAAGAAUAAGCACCGGCUAACUUCGUG
rnacentral:rRNA from 1 species